rnacentral:rRNA from 1 species
CGGAGCAUGUGGUUUAAUUCGAAGCAACGCGAAGAACCUACCAAGACUUGACAUCCCCUGACAGCUGUUGAAAGGCGGUGUCUCUUCGGAGCAGGGAGACAGGUGGUGCAUGGUUGUCGUCAGCUCGUGUCGUGAGAUGUUGGGUUAAGUCCCGCAACGAGCGCAACCCUUAUCCUUAGUUACCAGCACGUAAAGGUGGGGACUCUAGGGAGACCGCCGGGGACGACUCGGAGGAAGGUGGGGACGACGUCAAAUCAUCAUGCCCCUUAUGUCUUGGGCUACACACGUGCUACAAUGGCCGCAACAGAGGGAAGCGAGAGCGCAAGCUGGAGCAAACCCUAAAAAAGCGGUCCCAGUUCGGAUUGUGGGCUGCAACCCGCCCACAUGAAGUCGGAGUUGCUAGUAAUCGCGAAUCAGCAUGUCGCGGUGAAUGCGUUCCCGGGCCUU